CGCCCUUAGAGUUUGAUCCUGGCUCAGGAUGGGCGCUGGCGGCGUGCUUAACACAUGCAAGUCGAGCGAAGCACUUUGGAAAGAUUCUUCGGAUGAUUUCCUUUGUGACUGAGCGGCGGACGGGUGAGUAACGCGUGGGUAACCUGCCUCAUACGGGGGGAUAACAGUUAGAAAUGACUGCUAAUACCGCAUAAGACCACGGUACCGCAUGGUACAGUGGUAAAAACUCCGGUGGUAUGAGAUGGACCCGCGUCUGAUUAGGUAGUUGGUGGGGUAACGGCCUACCAAGCCGACGAUCAGUAGCCGACCUGAGAGGGUGACCGGCCACAUUGGGACUGAAACACGGCCCAGACUCCUACGGGAGGCAGCAGUGGGGAAUAUUGCACAAUGGAGGAAACUCUGAUGCAGCGACGCCGCGUGAAGGAUGAAGUAUUUCGGUAUGUAAACUUCUAUCAGCAGGGAAGAAAAUGACGGUACCUGACUAAGAAGCCCCGGCUAACUACGUGCCAGCAGCCGCGGUAAUACGUAGGGGGCAAGCGUUAUCCGGAUUUACUGGGUGUAAAGGGAGCGUAGACGGCACGGCAAGCCAGAUGUGAAAGCCCGGGGCUCAACCCCGGGACUGCAUUUGGAACUGCUGAGCUAGAGUGUCGGAGAGGCAAGUGGAAUUCCUAGUGUAGCGGUGAAAUGCGUAGAUAUUAGGAGGAACACCAGUGGCGAAGGCGGCUUGCUGGACGAUGACUGACGUUGAGGCUCGAAAGCGUGGGGAGCAAACAGGAUUAGAUACCCUGGUAGUCCACGCCGUAAACGA
rnacentral:rRNA from 1 species